CACGUAGUUAGCCGGCGCUUCAUCCCCGGCUACCGUCAACCCCACCACACGGACAGGGCCUUCACCACCGGGAACAGAGGUUCACAACCCGAAGGCCUCCAUCCCUCACGCGACGUCGCUGCAUCAGGCUUCCGCCCAUUGUGCAAUACCCCCCACUGCUGCCUCCCGCAGGAGUCUGGGCCGUAUCUCAGUCCCAGUGUGGCCGCCCACCCUCUCAGGCCGGCUACCCGUCACCGCCUUGGUAGGCCAUCACCCCACCAACAAGCUGAUAGGCCGCGAGCCCAUCCCCCGCCGAAACACCAAAAAACAGUGAAUCUAUCCCGACCAGCCCAUGCGGACCAACCGGACCACCCCGUAUUAGCCGCCCUUUCAAGCGGUUAUCCAGGACCGAAGGGCAGGUUACUCACGUGAUACUCACCCGUUCGCCACUCAACCCACCCCCAAAAAACAAGAGCAGGCCCGUUCGACUUGCAUGUGUUAAGCACGCCGCCAGCGUUCGUCCUCGAGCCAGGACGUCAAACUACUA
rnacentral:rRNA from 1 species